CCCAGGAGGCCAAUGUGAGCAAAAAGAUUGUCAUUUGGAAGAGUGGAAAAUGUACAAGAAUCCCAAAGGAUCGCCUUUCGCUGCCACACAGCACUCACUGAAGGUGAGCCAUUAAGUUGGAGAGCUUGGAUGAAAUUCCUGCAUUCAAAAUCAGCUCUGCCCUUUGUGCCUAUGACCUGCACGUGCCUCGGUUUACCUUGUCGGUGAGUGGGGAUAGCUGCACUGCCGACUCCAUAUCGCUGUGGAUGGAAAUAGUAAGUCAGUG